rnacentral:rRNA from 1 species
UACGGAGGGUGCAAGCGUUAUCCGGAUUCAUUGGGUUUAAAGGGUGCGUAGGCUGGUUUGUAAGUCAGUGGUGAAAUCUUGCCGCUUAACGGUAAAAUUGCCAUUGAUACUGCAGAUCUUGAAUAUGGAUGAGGUAGGCGGAAUGUGUAGUGUAGCGGUGAAAUGCAUAGAUAUUACACAGAACACCGAUUGCGAAGGCAGCUUACUAAACCAUUAUUGACGCUGAUGCACGAAAGCGUGGGGAGCAAACAGG